rnacentral:snRNA from 1 species
GGAUGUGAGGGCGAUCUGGCUGCGACAUCUGUCACCCCAUUGAUCGCCAGGGUUGAUUCGGCUGAUCUGGCUGGCUAGGCGGGUGUCCCCUUCCUCCCUCACCGCUCCAUGUGCGUCCCUCCCAAAGCUGCGCGCUCGGUCGAAGAGGACGGCCUUCCGCGAAUAGAGACGGACCGGUCUUCGGUCGAGGGUAUACGAGUAGCUGCGCUCCCCUGCUAGAACCUCCAAACAAGCUCUCAAGGUCCAAAGCCUGGCUACAUACAAAGCCUCAAGAACCAAUAACCUGGGAUAGAAUUCUAGACGGAAGGACAAACACAGAUACCCUGUCCUUGGU